rnacentral:tRNA from 2 species
GGGCUUGUGGGGUAGAUUGGUCCAUCCUUUCGGCUUCGGGAGCCGAAGACCCCGGUUCAAAUCCGGGCAAGCCCA